rnacentral:lncRNA from 1 species
CCAUGGAAUAGUUGUGAGGGAGAGCACCCCUUUAGCGCCUCUCCGCAUAGUUCUUCCUUCCCCUACCGCCGGUCAACAGUUUGAUAUCCUUGUCCAAGGCCGGUGUGUACAGUUUCAGCCUCGUUCCCAUGGAUGGCAAAGUCUGUCUUGUCAUGAUGCGCAGGUACACACAUAGGCAUACCAAAAUCGUUAUUGAUUUAUCCAUACAGUUUCAUGUCCAGAUUGACAUUUAUUUGGGGGAAGUGCUAUUGAUUUAUUUUAUUCAGCGCCACGAGUGUUCAGUGUUGAUUUUGUGGGCAGGCGUUUUAGUGAGCUAGCAAGGGGGCGUAGUGGAUCUGUCAUCAUUUUGUUUAAAAUGGUUGAAAGAUGUUCAACGUUGGCUCUAUACUCAAGUCUGAUAUAUCUUGUAUUUAUUCUAUAGUUAAGUACAGUAGUUUCAGAUUCUUUUACAAGUGCUUCAUGAUUUUACCUUGUGUGCAGAAAUCUUCUAAGUUGCCGCUGAAGGGAGAAGACAUGGGGUCGGAAAAAUGUUAAGAUUGACUUGAUGUGUGGUAAGGAAAAGUCAGUCGAAAAGUUUUUGAUGCUUGAGCAUUCACUACUCAGUUAUUCUUUUAGGUACGCAUAAUCUUCCAAGUUAUAAUCAAUUCCUUUUAUUUGGGCACGCAUAAUGACCAUUCCUCGGCAUCAAGUUCUUCUGGUUAGUAAUUAAUACUCCCUUCCCAUAUGGAUUUUCAUGAUGGUUGUUCAUUUUUUGGGAUAGCUUACCAGGCUUAUGCCUUGAAA